CUAGAUCACCAACUGCACAUCCCACUGCCUGCGAAACCCGCUGCCGGCCUGUCACAGCUUCACAUUAUUUGGCGGAUCUUCACCCAUCAGCAUGUUCAUAAAACUGUCAGGCAGCCUCUGCAGUUUGGGACAAUGAGUGAUGUAGCAAACAACAGAUAUCAUAAUGAGUUGGGUGAAGGGGAGAUCUCUCGUUUUAUAUACCUGCAUCAUGAAUGAUACUGAAGUCUCAAGCAUGAAAGUGAAGAACUCAGAAGCAUCCAACUCGUACUGCGGUGUCGCAGAGCGGCAGUGGCUGCUUCCCGCCAUUUUUGAUAAGCAGCAGAAGAGACCAAUUAAUACCCUUACAAUAAAUCAUAAAACAUGCAUGAUAACAGGCAUUAGUCGCAAGUACCCCAUAUGUCCUAUUUUUAGCAAAUUCAUGCUAAAAUUCACGUAAAAUUUCAGCAUGACCUUUGCUGAAAAUAAGACAUAUGGAGUACCCGAAUUUACCGGAACGGAAGUUAAUCGACAUUCCGGCAAACUCAAGGGCCUCUCGGGGUACCUGCAAUUUCAUGAUAAACUGCCAACAACAUAGCAAGCCAGAAGAUACAAGUUAAACUUAAGCUAGAGAUACAAGUUGAACACACACCAAGCAGUUUUUAUAAUAUUAAGCUAGAAGAUACAAGUUGAACACACACCAGACAGUAAGCUUAACAAGAUACACACAGUCUUGGUGCAGGCCAGGAUUAAUAGUUUCCUCACUAACAAAUGUUAUCACCAUAAUUAGCUAAAACUAAGAUAUUUUAAAACAGUCAUUACAAGUUAGAUUUGUGACAGCAAGCAAACGGUACCAGGAGGAAAUUUCCAUUAUUUUGAUAGUCCAAGUCAAAACAAAAAGUCUGAAAAAUAGACAUUAUAAGAAAGAUGAUGCUGGAAAGGGGGUUUUAUUUCCAGCAUCAUUCUCUCCAAUAUGGCAUGAAAGGAAAAAGGAAGGGUUUUCUGGACAACACGAUCCCCCGGUUAAAUUCGUUCGUGUUGGAGCAAACAUUUUGACACCAUGCCCGGUAUAACCCCUAGGUAUUUGAUGGAAGAAAUUACCACAGUGGCAAAUAACUGAACAUUCACACUCUGUUUUAACUGAAUAUAUAUGUGGAAAAAACAGAACCUUUACACUCCGUUCCUGUGUGUGAAAAUAUGCUCUAUAGGUGAAAGAACAGACCAUACUCAGUGCAAAAAUUGAACCGUUCACAGUCUGUUUAAACUGAAAAAAGAAUGAACACCUACUCAUAUUCAGUGAAAAAACUGAAUAUACGCCCAUAUUCAGUGCAGAAACUGAAUACAUAUUCUCGUUCCGGUGCAUAAACUGAAUAUAUAUGCUCAUUUUUCAGUGUAGAAAGUGAAUAUAUUCAGUGCAGAAGGUGAUUACUUGUUUAAAGUGAAUAUGUAUGGCAUCUUUGUGUCCAAAGUCCGGGCUUUGCUUUGUUUCAACUGAAGAAACUGAACAUUUGCUUGUAUCCAGUGCAAAAACAGAAUGUAUUGUACGUUCUAGUGCACAAAUUGAAGAUUGGCUUUUUUUUUAAGUGCUAAACCUGAAUAUACGUGCAUGAUAUGUUUGUUUGCAAAGCCUUAGCCUUAACUCCCCAAACCAUAGACCAUUUCAUAUUCAUAUUAGUAACAAAAAUAACCAUGAUGAAGCCACACUUGUCUAUGAAUCUUCCAUGUGCCUAGCAGCAGGCCUGGUUACUUAUUCGGUGGUAAUGGAAUCUACGGGCAUGUGGCUGCCGCCCUCACUAACAAAUGUAGAUUAGGAGCAAGAAGAGUCGGCCCUAGGGUUUGCAGGGGAGGAGAUGGAGAAGUGGAGAAGAGGUAGGAAUCACCUCGAACCAGCGGAGGAGGACGUCGAUGUUCUUGCGGCGGUGGGGCGUUGAAGACCUGGCGGCGAGGUUCCUCCUCUCGGUGGCGGCGGGGCUCCUUCCCUCGGUGGCGGCGGUGGCCUCUUCCCCUCGGUGGCGGCGGCGGGGCUCCUCCUCUCCUUGUGGAGGCGGGGCGUUGAUCCGGCGGUGGCGCUGGAACCCUAGCGCUGGCCCUGCUUGUCGGAGCACCUCGUCGGAGCGGGGGAGGCGGCGGGGGCACGGGGACGGCGGCGGCGCAGUACGGGUCGGGGCAGUGGGCGGGUGAGAGAUGUGAUCGAUUGGGGAUAAAAAGGGGACUGAGGAUUUUAG
rnacentral:lncRNA from 1 species